GACGAACGCUGGCGGCGUGCCUAAUACAUGCAAGUAGAACGCUGAAGAGAGGAGCUUACUCUUCUUGGAUGAGUUGCGAACGGGUGAGUAACGCGUAGGUAACCUGCCUUGUAGCGGGGGAUAACUAUUGGAAACGAUAGCUAAUACCGCAUAACAAUGGAUGACACAUGUCAUUUAUUUGAAAGGGGCAAUUGCUCCACUACAAGAUGGACCUGCGUUGUAUUAGCUAGUAGGUGAGGUAAUGGCUCACCUAGGCGACGAUACAUAGCCGACCUGAGAGGGUGAUCGGCCACACUGGGACUGAGACACGGCCCAGACUCCUACGGGAGGCAGCAGUAGGGAAGCUUCGGCAAUGGGGGCAACCCUGACCGAGCAACGCCGCGUGAGGGAAGAAGGUUUUCGGAUCGUAAAGCUCUGUUGUAAGUCAAGAACGGGUGUGAGAGUGGAAAGUUCACACUGUGACGGUAGCUUAACAGAAAGGGACGGCUAACUACGUG
rnacentral:rRNA from 1 species